UCCCUGGAGGUCCAGUGGUUAGGACUCGGCACUUUCACUUCCGGGGCCCAGAUUCAAUUUCUGGUCGGGGAA